AUUCAUUGUUUCUUGAUCUUGUGUUAAUAUAAAAUAAAAUUCACAUUUUGACUUAUCUUUCUGAUGUUGAACUUUUCUGUACCACUUUAUUUAAACUGAAAUUUUACAACUUGUUUUAGUUGCUAACAAAACUAUGUUUCAACUUAUAACUAUUAUAAAAACAGACAAAAAACAAGAUGAAAAAAUCGUUUGAAACCUUGCAGUUGAAGAGUUUCAAGUGGAUCGAAAUUUUUCAUACACAUUUUGCUUGAGUUGGAUGGAUCCUUUUACUGGUACAACACAAACAACUUUUAACAAAGUAGGUAUUAAGUUUGUUAUUUAACUCUUGAUGAUUUGCUCACAUCUUAACACCUAAUCUCGUCAACCUAAACAUGUAAGUCAAUCAAUUAUCCACCAUACUAAUACCUCAUUUAUGAUAUUAAUUCUAUUUCCUUUAUUCCUCCACUUUUUUUCAUUAUAUCCACAAUCACAGCCAAUCAGCAUCCUGAUCAUGACGUUGGAACAAAAAGGUAUAAGGAUACAAGGGAACUCGCCCAUCACCAGAAACUCAGCAUUUCCUUUUCCUUCCCUGUCUUCUUCUCAUCAUCAUUACAUCAUGAAUCAACCAUUUUUUCCAUGAGUUAAUACUUCACUGUUCAAUGACAAUCACACAUAGAGGAACACGUAUAAAAGCCCAACAUAAAAAACGAUGCUCAUGAGAUUUGACCAUCAAUCUUGACUGAAUCAUCUUCAGUCAAAGUAAUUUUUUUGUCUUACUGUUUCAUCAUUAUCACCAUCAACAUGAACCAUCUUUUUUUUCUGAUCAUUUUUCAUUCACAACUAGAAAGUAAAGAAGACAAAGAUGAACAUGAUGAAAAUGAUUAUCAUCCAAGAACCGUUAAUAUCAUGAAUAUCAGCAUCAUUACUUAUUCAUGUUUCAAUUUAAUGUCGUCAUUUAGCUAAUUACUAAUUGAGCUAAUUUUGCUUUUAUUAAUCCAUUUUGAUCCUUUCCAUACAAUCUCUCGGAUAAAACCUUUUCCUCGUCAAAUUAAGUGCAGUAACGAGAGGCAAAUAAAUCGGAGGAAAAAACAACAACAAUUCACUUUCACUAUCAAAUUCAUGAUUAAUCUUCAUCAUUUUCUUUUCCAAUCGUUUCAAGCUAAUCAUGGAGCCAACUAAAAAGGAGAAAACUCUAAAGUAAAGUCUCUAUUCAAGAAAUCUUUCAUCAGAAUGAAGCUCAAUCGAGCUCAAACAAAAAAAGAACACUUUUUUGCUGCUUCCACUUAAAACAUUUCAAGAGCGUAAUAAAAGGUUAAGGGACUGUUGAAAUAUUUUAACACCAAUCAUAAUGAUAAUCUUUUAGAUUUAUUCAAAUCUUUUCAAUGUUAAUAAUUCCAUGAAAGAUUCCAAAGUUGAAGAUACAUUUAACGAAAACUAAAACCCAAAUUGAUUCAAUAAAUUGUUGCCUGAAUGCAGUUUUUUUAAUAAUAAA